UGAGACAGGCUUAUUGUCCUGUUAAUAUAUCCCUCCUCUCUGAGAGCAACAAGUAGUAGCUCAGGACAAAAACCAUCUGCUACUCUCUUUUGACUAGUGGGCUUCUUGUUUGGUGGUUACUAUUCUUUCAGGAAUGCAACUAUCCUUAAUUCCCCUUCCAAGAAAGCAGACUUUCUCUCUCAAAGCCAGAGACAAUCUCUUGAGCCUCAGACUCUACAGUGGGAAGAAGAAGGAGAGCUACUCUACCUAUAUAUAUAAAGUCCUAACUCAAACUGAGGACAUGGGGGUCUUCUGCUGGGUGGCUGAUGCUCUGAAAUCUCUGAACAAGCCCUAUCUGUUCGGGAAAGUAGCUUUAGAGGCUGCCAGGCUGUCUCACUACAAAAAAAGAAGCCUUAUUGCCCAGAAGGAGGUCCAUGCUGCAAUGAAGCUGGUACUUCUGAGUGAGCUCUCCGAGCAAGACUUGUCUCAAACAAUUAAAGCAGUAACUAAGUAAACUGGUUCAAAAUAAACUGUUCAAUAUGUGUAACUUUUUUAACAUUUUAUGGAGAUGUAACUUUAAUGUAUCUAUUUGAUUUGUAAUAAAGUGUUUGUCUGAUGUC